UACGUAGGGGGCUAGCGUUGCUCGGAAUCACUGGGCGUAAAGCGCACGUAGGCGGUUUGCUAAGUCAGGGGUGAAAUCCUGGAGCUCAACUCCAGAACUGCCUUUGAUACUGGCGGACUUGAGUCCGGGAGAGGUGAGUGGAACUGCGAGUGUAGAGGUGAAAUUCGUAGAUAUUCGCAAGAACACCAGUGGCGAAGGCGGCUCACUGGCCCGGUACUGACGCUGAGGUGCGAAAGCGUGGGGAGCAAACAGG
rnacentral:rRNA from 1 species